rnacentral:rRNA from 1 species
UACGGAGGGUGCAAGCGUUAUCCGGAUUCACUGGGUUUAAAGGGUGCGUAGGUGGGCAGGUAAGUCAGUGGUGAAAUCUCCGAGCUUAACUCGGAACUGCCGUUGAUACUAUUUGUCUUGAAUAUUGUGGAGGUAAGCGGAAUAUGUCAUGUAGCGGUGAAAUGCUUAGAUAUGACAUAGAACACCAAUUGCGAAGGCAGCUUACUACACAACCAUUGACGCUGAGGCACGAAAGCGUGGGGAUCAAACAGG